rnacentral:rRNA from 1 species
UACGAAGGGGGCUAGCGUUGUUCGGAGUUACUGGGCGUAAAGGGCGCGUAGGCGGCCGUCCAAGUCAGGUGUGAAAGCCCGGGGCUCAACCCCGGAAUAGCACUUGAGACAGGGCAGCUUGAGGACGGGUGAGGAUAGUGGAAUUCCCAGUGUAGAGGUGAAAUUCGUAGAUAUUGGGAAGAACACCGGUGGCGAAGGCGGCUAUCUGGACCGUUACUGACGCUGAGGCGCGAAAGCGUGGGGAGCAAACAGG